AAAUUGAAGAGUUUGAUCAUGGCUCAGAUUGAACGCUGGCGGCAGGCCUAACACAUGCAAGUCGAACGGUAGC
rnacentral:rRNA from 1 species